GUGAUGUUAUGAAUUUUUUUUUUCAAUGACAGUCUUAAAUUUGCUCAUGUUUUUUUUCCUAUACCUUGGAUGUUAAAAACUAAGAGUUGUCAGAUAGAUUGAGCUCAUGAAUUGGAAUUGCAUUCUAUAUCAAAACAAUAGAUCUGAGCAACAAUCUCAUUGGCAGUUUUCUUUCAGCUAACCAGCUUACUGGAAGUAUUCCUGAUUCUUUGUCUUCCCUGAGUCAAUUAUCAGCUAUAUAUCCCUGAUGAGCUACUUGAAGAUGGCAUGCAGAUUUUGAGGGGCAGAGGCAUGGCUUCAAUGUACUCUUGGUCUUGCAAGAGGUUGACAAAUCACGUCCAAGAGUGAAUCGACCCAUGAUGGGAGAGACUGAAGAGCACAAUAAGCUACUGGUAGUUGUAGUUCUAGUGUUUGUAUUCCAAGUUAACCAUGUAUAUAUAGACUGGAGAGUUGCGUCUCGAUAGGAUAGCCUUAAGCUUUUAAUGGCCGCUUUUGGCUAUCGUUUCGAUUGACUAAACAGGCAGAUAUGCAUCGCGUAUAUAUUGUUUCCUUUCACAUUUA